CUUUCCCAAGGCUUAAGUAAUGCUUGGUUUUGGGUUUUUGAACUUUUAAUUCUCGUUUUGUCACUUCCCCUGUCCCCAAUGUAUGGAAGCGAACAACAUUUUGCGCGCAACGAAUCUUCUGUACCACACCCUGUCUCACAUCUUGUUCCACUCCUUAAAAUCUCGCCAAGUGUCCCUUAAUAAACCAAAUCCUCAACUAACUCAACUCAGACCAUAUUAAAUUAAUUAAUCGAUUAACCGGACAAAGAAAUUUAAUCUCUUUAACCAAUAUAACCAAAAUCAAGAAAAAUAAAAACUCUUUAACCAAAAUCACAAUUUUUCAACGGAAAAAACCCUAAAAUAUUAAAAAACCUCUGUCCGAGUUCAUCAUAUUCACCAUUCAGCUUUGACGAAAUAUUCACGGAUAAAACUUCGAAACUCUUCCCAGAGCUUCCAGUCUGAAUGUUUCAUCUGUUAAAUUGUCUGAAAAUUCGGUAUCUGCUGGACGAAGCACACCACCUGUUCGAUCAAAUGCCUAAGAGGAAGAUGAAUCAAACUGUAAGACGUUGGACCCUAACUUCUACCAAGGCUAUGAUUUGAUGUCUUCAAGUUCAAUAGCACAACAGCAUGCAUCAAUAAGUUUUGUCCAAGCGCAAGAACUUGAAAAUAAUGAUGAUUCUGAUCAACAAGUUGUUGAAAAUGGGAAAAUUGAAUGAAGAUGCUUAUGAAGAAAUGGAGGACAAGACUGUGGGAUUGCGCUCAUGGAUUAAUUAGACCUUUAAGUGGAAUAAUACUUUGUGCUUAUACUUAUUGAUUUUGAUAUUUUUGUUCAAAUAUCUGUUAAUAAACGUUCUUCUGACUAAAUUGUAGAACAUGAGAUAUACUCCCUCCGUCCCAUUGUUAAUGUCAUGUUUCACCUUUUUCAUUGUCCCAA